UCUACGUCGGCGACCGGCGCACGGGUGCGUAACGCGUAUGCAACCUACCCAUUACAGGGGGAUAACACUGAGAAAUCGGUACUAAUACCCCAUAACAUCCAGGGAGGCAUCUUCUUGGGUUGAAAACUCCGGUGGUAAUGGAUGGGCAUGCGUUGUAUUAGUUAGUUGGUGGGGUAACGGCUCACCAAGACAACGAUACAUAGGGGGGACUGAGAGGUUAACCCCCCACAUUGGUACUGAGACACGGACCAAACUCCUACGGAAGGCAGCAG
rnacentral:rRNA from 1 species